rnacentral:sRNA from 1 species
AGCGGAUCUCAGCCUGCCGGCCGUGGUGGC